AGAGUUGAUCCUGGCUAGGACGAACGCUGGCGGCGUGCCUAACACAUGCAAGUCGAACGGAGCGAAAGAAGCUUGCUUCUGGCGCUUAGUGGCGGACGGGUGAGUAACACGUGAGUAACCUGCCUUCAGAGGGGAAUAAUGUCUGGAAACGGACACUAAUACCGCAUAAUGUAUUAAUUCGCAUGAAUCGGAUACCAAAGGAGCAAUCCGCUGAAAGAUGGACUCGCGUCUGAUUAGCCAGUUGGCGGGUAACGGCCACCAAAGCGACGAUCAGUAGCCGGACUGAGAGGUUGAACGGCCACAUUGGGACUGAGACACGGCCCAGACUCCUACGGGAGGCAGCAGUGGGGGGAUAUUGCACAAUGGGCGCAAGCCUGAUGCAGCCAACGCCGCGUGCAGGAAGACGGUCUUCGGAUUGUAAACUGUUGUCCUCUGUGACGAUAAUGACGGUAGCAGAGGAGGAAGCCACGGCUAACUACGUGCCAGCCGCCGC
rnacentral:rRNA from 1 species